GUCUAAUAGCAUAGAGGGCAGAUAUCUGCCCAGCUCUCGAGCUGUUUAAGGCUUAUUGUAAAUAUAAAAGAUGUGUGUCUUUUACUUGGGAACUGAAUAAUCCAAAGUGGGGUACAAAUCCUGGGUUGGGAUUAAAAAUUUCUACAAAAACAGUCUUCCUGCCUUAGCCUUCCCCAUGCUGAGAUUAACAGGCAUGUAUCACCAUGCCAACAAACAUGUCUUUCUGCUUGCUUGGGUUUUUUGGGGGUGGGAUAGGGGAGUAUUGUUUGCUGUACAGAAAACCAGAUCACUCUUGGUAUUAGACAGUCUUUGGGCUUUAUUGAAAGAAUCCCAGCACUUUGGAUACAGAGGAAUUGUCAAGAAUUGAAAGCUAGCCUGGGUUUACCUCAAACACAAACAAGCUGGGCACGAUGGCUGUGCUGGCUAGUCUUACGUUGUCAGCUUGAUACAAGCUAGGCCUAUCUGAAAGAAGGGAACCUCAACGGAGAAAAUGUCUCCAUAAGAUCCAGUUGUAAAGCAUUUUCUUUAAUUGGUGAUUGAUCGGGGAGGGCCCAGGCCACUGUGGGUGGUACUAUCCCUGGGCUCGUGGUCCUUGGUUUUAUUUUUAAAAGCAGGCUGAGAAAGCCAUGGGGAGCAAGCCAGUAAGCAGCAGCCCUCCAUUACCUCUGCAUCAGCUCCUGCCUCCAUGUUCCUGCCCUGUUUGAGUUCUUGUCCUGGCUUGCUUCAAUGAUUAUGGAAGUGUAGGCCAAAUGAGCCCUCUCCUCCCCAACUUGCUUUUGGUUUUGGUGUUUCAUCACAACAGUGGAAACCCUAAAACAGUGGCAUAUGCCUUGAAUCUCAACACUUGGGAGGCAGAAGCAGGUAAAUAUGAGUUUAAGGGCAGUCUGUCCACAAAACAGGUUCCAGUGCAGCCAGGGUAACAUAGUGUGACUCUGUGCCAAGUUUAAAGCAAAGAGAACCCAAUCUAUGGAUUCUGACAAAGGCCUAAUGGUAUUGCUUCCUGCUGCUGUUCAAAACAAAACACCCUGACUAACAAACUUAGGUGAGAAAGGGUUAUAGUUCGGUUAUAUCAGAGACAUCAGGAUUGCAGGAACUUGAAGCAGCUAGUCAUGUGACAUCCAUAGUUAGGAGCAAUGCAUGAAUGCUCUGUUCAGCUUGCUGUCCACUCUUACAUGGCCCAGAGCCCAGCCCAGGAAUGCUAUUACCCACAUUUGGGAUGGUUCUUCCUACACCAAUGAAUGUAGUCAAGAUAACCCCCACAGGCAUGCCAUCAGGCCAACCUGACCUAGACCAUCUUUUGAGACUCUUUCAAGGUGAUUCUACAAGUUGGCAGUUAAAAUCAACCCCCACAUUUUGUCAUCUGUCAUACAGAAUAUUUGUGCUACCUUCAAAAAAUCUCUAGUCUCUGGGAGCACCAGGAGUCGACACUGCCAGGCAAUUUUAAGAAAACAUUAGACAAGCUAGAUGUGGGAAAUGUCCAGGCUCAAUAAAGCCAAGAGGAAGAAAGUCCAACACAAGAGAAGACCUGCCAAACAAAGAGACCAUUGAGCAGAGUAACCAGAGAAAUAUUCCCUAAAAGGCUAGGCUGGAAGAUUCACCCCACCGCCAGACACACAUCCUCUUAUCUCCAGGGCCCACUAAGGAUGGGACAGAAGAGUUACUGGCAAGAUGGACGAAGGCCACAAGCUGUACUGCGAAGCCAGGUGCUCUGCCCCAUCCUGCUGCUCUCUGAAGGAGGCCUCUCCCUAAACAGCCUGACGAAUCUCACCUAUUUGCCCUGGAAUCAUAUAAGAAUUAUUUAUCUGAUUAAUGAAAAUAAACACAGCUUGUGCC
rnacentral:lncRNA from 1 species